AACUGCGAAUACCGGAGAAUGUUAUCACGGGAGACACACGGCGGGUGCUAACGUCCGUCGUGAAGAGGGAAACAACCCAGACCGCCAGCUAAGGUCCCAAAGUCAUGGUUAAGUGGGAAACGAUGUGGGAAGGCCCAGACAGCCAGGAUGUUGGCUUAGAAGCAGCCAUCAUUUAAAGAAAGCGUAAUAGCUCACUGGUCGAGUCGGCCUGCGCGGAAGAUGUAACGGGGCUAAACCAUGCACCGAAGCUGCGGCAGCGAUGCUUAUGCGUUGUUGGGUAGGGGAGCGUUCUGUAAGCCUGCGAAGGUGUGCUGUGAGGCAUGCUGGAGGUAUCAGAAGUGCGAAUGCUGACAUAAGUAACGAUAAAGCGGGUGAAAAGCCCGCUCGCCGGAAGACCAAGGGUUCCUGUCCAACGUUAAUCGGGGCAGGGUGAGUCGACCCCUAAGGCGAGGCCGAAAGGCGUAGUCGAUGGGAAACAGGUUAAUAUUCCUGUACUUGGUGUUACUGCGAAGGGGGGACGGAGAAGGCUAUGUUGGCCGGGCGACGGUUGUCCCGGUUUAAGCGUGUAGGCUGGUUUUCCAGGCAAAUCCGGAAAAUCAAGGCUGAGGCGUGAUGACGAGGCACUACGGUGCUGAAGCAACAAAUGCCCUGCUUCCAGGAAAAGCCUCUAAGCAUCAGGUAACAUCAAAUCGUACCCCAAACCGACACAGGUGGUCAGGUAGAGAAUACCAAGGCGCUUGAGAGAACUCGGGUGAAGGAACUAGGCAAAAUGGUGCCGUAACUUCGGGAGAAGGCACGCUGAUAUGUAGGUGAAGUCCCUUGCGGAUGGAGCUGAAAUCAGUCGAAGAUACCAGCUGGCUGCAACUGUUUAUUAAAAACACAGCACUGUGCAAACACGAAAGUGGACGUAUACGGUGUGACGCCUGCCCGGUGCCGGAAGGUUAAUUGAUGGGGUCAGCGCAAGCGAAGCUCUUGAUCGAAGCCCCGGUAAACGGCGGCCGUAACUAUAACGGUCCUAAGGUAGCGAAAUUCCUUGUCGGGUAAGUUCCGACCUGCACGAAUGGCGUAAUGAUGGCCAGGCUGUCUCCACCCGAGACUCAGUGAAAUUGAACUCGCUGUGAAGAUGCAGUGUACCCGCGGCAAGACGGAAAGACCCCGUGAACCUUUACUAUAGCUUGACACUGAACAUUGAGCCUUGAUGUGUAGGAUAGGUGGGAGGCUUUGAAGUGUGGACGCCAGUCUGCAUGGAGCCGGCCUUGAAAUACCACCCUUUAAUGUUUGAUGUUCUAACGUGGACCCGUGAUCCGGGUUGCGGACAGUGUCUGGUGGGUAGUUUGACUGGGGCGGUCUCCUCCUAAAGAGUAACGGAGGAGCACGAAGGUUGGCUAAUCCUGGUCGGACAUCAGGAGGUUAGUGCAAUGGCAUAAGCCAGCUUGACUGCGAGCGUGACGGCGCGAGCAGGUGCGAAAGCAGGUCAUAGUGAUCCGGUGGUUCUGAAUGGAAGGGCCAUCGCUCAACGGAUAAAAGGUACUCCGGGGAUAACAGGCUGAUACCGCCCAAGAGUUCAUAUCGACGGCGGUGUUUGGCACCUCGAUGUCGGCUCAUCACAUCCUGGGGCUGAAGUAGGUCCCAAGGGUAUGGCUGUUCGCCAUUUAAAGUGGUACGCGAGCUGGGUUUAGAACGUCGUGAGACAGUUCGGUCCCUAUCUGCCGUGGGCGCUGGAGAACUGAGGGGGGCUGCUCCUAGUACGAGAGGACCGGAGUGGACGCAUCACUGGUGUUCGGGUUGUCAUGCCAAUGGCACUGCCCGGUAGCUAAAUGCGGAAGAGAUAAGUGCUGAAAGCAUCUAAGCACGAAACUUGCCCCGAGAUGAGUUCUCCCUGACCCUUUAAGGGUCCUGAAGGAACGUUGAAGACGACGACGUUGAUAGGCCGGGUGUGUAAGCGCAGCGAUGCGUUGAGCUAACCGGUACUAAUGAACCGUGAGG
rnacentral:rRNA from 1 species